rnacentral:rRNA from 1 species
GACGAACGCUGGCGGCGUGCUUAACACAUGCAAGUCGAACGGGCCCGCCCCUGUUUUUGGGGGUGGGUUGAGUGGCGAACGGGUGAGUAUCACGUGAGUAACCUGCCCCCUGCUCCUGGAUAACUGCUUGAAAGGGCGGCUAAUACGGGGUGUGCCGGCUGGUCCGCAUGGGCCUGGUCGGGAUAGUUUCAUCUUCGGGUGUUUCGGUGGGGGAUGGGCUCGCGGCCUAUCAGCUUGUUGGGGGGGUGAUGGCCCACCAAGGCGGUGACGGGUAGCCGGCCUGGGGGGGUGGGCGGCCACACUGGGACUGAGACACGGCCCAGACGCCUGCGGGAGGCAGCAGUGGGGGGUAUGGCACAAUGGGCGGAAGCCGGAUGCAGCGACGUCGCGUGAGGGAUGGAGGCCUUCGGGUUGUGAACCUCUUUCUCCGGUGGUGAAGGCCCUGUCCGUUGCGGCGGGGUUGACGGUAGCCGGGUAUGAAGCGCCGGCUAACUACGUG